AUGUCCAACGGCAAGCCGACAUAUAACAGUGACUCUUCUUACAUGUCGAGCAUACCGGUCUGUUGCUUUCUCAGGGCAAUGCAGCCGACAAGUAGUUUACUUCGCUGGACCGAUGAUCUCCAUAAGAUCUUCCUGGAAGCUGUAGAGUAUCAAGGAGGCCCCUAUGAGGUGAAGCCAACUGCGGUGAAGGAGAAAAUGGAAGCUAUGGGAGUCACAGGCCUCACAAUCUGGAACAUAAAAAGCCACCUCCAGAUCUGA
rnacentral:rRNA from 1 species